rnacentral:sRNA from 1 species
AGAGGAUGAGAACCGACGGAGGUUAGAGCCGAGCGCAGCGAGACAACGUUGCUUUAGCAACAACCAGAAGAGUUAGUAUGAAAUGCAAGGAAUUCUCUCUCGCCAACCA